AGAGUUUGAUCCUGGCUCAGAAUCAACGCUGGCGGCGCGCCUAACACAUGCAAGUCGAACGAGAAAGGGGAGCAAUCCCUGAGUACAGUGGCGUACGGGUGAGUAACACGUGGAUGAUCUACCCUUUUGUGGGGAAUAACCAAGGGAAACCGUGGCUAAUACCGCAUAAGCUCGAGAGAGGAAAGCAGCAAUGCGCAGAAGGAGGAGUCCGCGGCCGAUUAGCUAGUUGGCAGGGUAACAGCCUACCAAGGCAGAGAUCGGUAGCCGGCCUGAGAGGGCACACGGCCACACUGGCACUGAAACACGGGCCAGACUCCUACGGGAGGCAGCAGUGGGGAAUCUUGCACAAUGGGGGAAACCCUGAUGCAGCGACGCCGCGUGAGCGAUGAAGCCCUUCGGGGUGUAAAGCUCUUUCGUCAGGGAAGAUGAUGACGGUACCUGGAGAAGCAGCUGCGGCUAACUACGUGCCAGCAGCCGCGGUAAUACGUAGGCAGCAAGCGUUGUUCGGAGUUACUGGGCGUAAAGGGUGUGUAGGCGGUUGUUUAAGUUUGGUGUGAAAUCUCCCGGCUCAACUGGGAGGGUGCGCCGAAUACUGAAUGACUAGAGUGCGGGAGAGGAAAGUGGAAUUCCUGGUGUAGCGGUGAAAUGCGUAGAUAUCAGGAGGAACACCGGUGGUGUAGACGGCUUUCUGGACCGUAACUGACGCUGAAACACGAAAGCGUGGGUAGCAAACAGGAUUAGAUACCCUGGUAGUCCACGCCCUAAACGAUGCAUAUUUGGUGUGGGCAGUUCAUUCUGU
rnacentral:rRNA from 1 species